UACGUAGGGGGCUAGCGUUGUCCGGAUUUAUUGGGCGUAAAGAGCGUGUAGGCGGCCAGAUAAGUCCGCUGUGAAAUCUCGAGGCUCAACUUCGAGCUGUCGGUGGAAACUGUCUGGCUAGAGUCCGGAAGAGGAGAAUGGAAUUCCUGGUGUAGCGGUGAAAUGCGCAGAUAUCAGGAAGAACACCAAUGGCGAAGGCAGCUCGCUGGGACGGUACUGACGCUGAGGCGCGAAAGCGUGGGGAGCGAACAGG
rnacentral:rRNA from 1 species